UACGUAGGGCGCAAGUGUUGUCCGGUAUUAUUGGGCGUAAAGAGCUCGUAGGCGGCUUGUCACGUCGGGUGUGAAAGCCCGGGGCUUAACCCCGGGUCUGCAUUCGAUACGGGCAGGCUAGAGUGUGGUAGGGGAGAUCGGAAUUCCUGGUGUAGCGGUGAAAUGCGCAGAUAUCAGGAGGAACACCGGUGGCGAAGGCGGAUCUCUGGGCCAUUACUGACGCUGAGGAGCGAAAGCGUGGGGAGCGAACAGG
rnacentral:rRNA from 1 species